rnacentral:lncRNA from 1 species
UAUCUUUUUGAUUUAUAUUCUUUUCAAAUUAGAUAUAAUAAUGUCUAUUUUCCUUUUUCUGUUCCAGCGAAUUAGAGAUCUAGAAGAUAAAAUAGAACUUCAAAAGAGGCAACUCAAAGAAAUUGAAGAAAAGUUUUUGUUCCUUUUUUUGUUUUUUUCACUAGCAUUCAUUCUGUGGCCUUGAUGACACAACUGAGCCGAGACGUGUGGUUGGUAUUCUUUAUAUUUCUUUGUACUCAAUUUUUGUCUCCUAGAUUUUGCCAUGUUUUGGGGA